AUACCCCUGGUGUGUCUGCAGAGACUCAUUCAGCUCGACACUUUUAUAAAACUUUGGACAAACAGCCUGAUGGGACCGGACAUAGAAGUUGGACCUGGAGCAGACUGAGAAGGACUGGUGCGUUUCAAUGACGUCAGACAGAGUGUGAAUCACCUGGGGUGCUGGAGGAGAGAGGACUGAAGUCACGGCAGCUGACCGUCAGUCUCCCAGCCCUCAGGUUUAGAGGCACUGGCCUAGUGUUUCCCAUUACCUUGUAACUAUUGGA